GACGAACGCUGGCGGCGUGCUUAACACAUGCAAGUCGAGCGGUAAGGCCCCUUCGGGGGUACACGAGCGGCGAACGGGUGAGUAACACGUGAGCAAUCUGCCCUUCACACAGGGGUAACCUCGGGAAACCGAAGCUAAUACCUGAUACGACCACUUCAGGCAUCUGAUGGUGGUGGAAAGUUCCGGCGGUGAAGGAUGAGCUCGCGGCCUAUCAGCUUGUUGGUGGGGUAAUGGCCUACCAAGGCAACGACGGGUAGCCGGCCUGAGAGGGUGACCGGCCACACUGGGACUGAGACACGGCCCAGACUCCUACGGGAGGCAGCAGUGGGGAAUAUUGGGCAAUGGGCGAAAGCCUGAUCCAGCAACGCCGCGUGAGGGAUGACGGCCUUCGGGUUGUAAACCUCUUUCAGCAGGGACGAAGCGCAAGUGACGGUACCUGCAGAAGAAGCACCGGCCAACUACGUGCCAGCCGCCGCGGUAACAC
rnacentral:rRNA from 1 species